rnacentral:ncRNA from 1 species
CUAUGACUUAAGGUCAUGGCGGAAGGAG